UUGCAGCCGCGGUAAGACGGAGGGCGCAAGCGUUGUUCGGAAUUACUGGGCGUAAAGCGCGGGCAGGUGGUCCGUUAAGUCGUCUGUGAAAAUCCGGGGCUCAACCCCGUGAAAUGCAGGCGAUACUGGCGGACUAGAGAUCGGUAGAGGCUAACGGAAUUCCUGGUGUAGCGGUGGAAUGCGUAGAUAUCAGGAAGAACACCAGUGGCGAAGGCGGUUAGCUGGGCCGAGUCUGACACUCAUCCGCGAAAGCGUGGGGAGCAAACAGGAUU
rnacentral:rRNA from 1 species